GAUCUGCUCACUUUAGCCUCCCAAAGUGCUGGGAUUAUAGGCAUGAGCCACUGUGCCCAGCCCAAACAUGCUUUUUAAAGCAUGCAUUUUUUUCCUAGUUGUCCUGCUAAAAUACUCUGCUGUGCAGCUUUAGUUUGUCAUAACCAGGUUAAAAGUGCACAAAGAUGGUUUGUGUGGGAAAACUGUCAGGCUUUGACGAUUUGUCUCUGGGUCCCCAGUUUAUCUUUUCCAUCCUUUGCCCCUUUCUAGUGACACCCUUUUCCUUCUCCCCCCUCGAGGAAUGACUGGGUGGAAGUUAUGUAUACUUUUACUAAUUGUACCCAGCUGUGCCCAUUAAUAUCCCUCCUCUAUUGAAUGCAGACCACUGCACUGGAGCGUGAUGCGAUCACAUCUCCAUUUUUCCCAGCAGCCUACUAGAAAGGUCUUCAGCUUUGAAUUGAGGAGGGAGAGCCCUCGUGUGUGUGGAGUAUGGCCGUCUGCCCGUGCCACAUCGUGUAUGGGAAUUCUCGCAUCUGCCUUUCAGUGCAGCAUGAUGGGCACAGUUACUAGUACCAUUGUACAGCCUUGCACAGACUGUGGACAUGGUUGUUCUAGAAGAGUCCAUCAGCCGUUAAGAUAAACACCAGCCUGUAUGCCCUGAAACAAAUGCGUAGAAGACACAAAAAGACACAAGAAAGUGAAGCAAGAGAAGUCAAAUCAUCUUGCUGUUUUAACUCAUUUUUUUAGAGUUAGCGAGGAAUUUGUAGGGGGAAUUUGUAUGUGCAGAGAAUAUUUGCUAUAAACAGACUCUGAUGUUCCUUAUGAACUCAGAUGAGUUCUGUCAGAAAACAGGUUAGUCGAUAUAGAUUCUGUGGACCAAACAGAAUAUUUGUAGCUUAUUGAUUAAACUAUACUCUAUCAACACAUGGCUGUUUUUCUAAACAAGACUUCUAAGAAGUCAAAUUAUAUUCCCCAAAACACAAGAGCAACCUGAUCCUAGCCAGCCUCCAAGGCAGCUGUGAUGUAGAAUUAGAUCACAAAUUCAUUCUCCUUUUACCUCCAGAAGACUGGACCCCCCCAAAAUGGCUGGUAACAUGGGUUACCUAUGGCUGGGAGAGAGCGGCAUAGAGUUUUCUAAACAAGUUGUUGUUCGUUUUGAAUUUUGUAUCAUGGACUAUAUUACAUUCCCUAUUCAAUGAAUAAACAUUUUUAAAGUAUUUCUGCUUUGUAUACGUCAUCAAAACAACUGGGAUUCAAAAGCUUUGACUCUAUCAAUAGUCAACUAGAAAAAUCUUAGUAAAUAAAAGCCUGUACAUCUCAACUCAGUCAUCAAGGCUUUUCCUUGCUGCCUGUUUGGGAAAGAGAGGUGACUGUAAGUGGCUGACAAAAUCACUCUAUUAACUGAAGAUCUGGAGCCUUAUGCCCAAAUUCCCCCAUUCACUGGGAGAUUCCUUAAGAACACUCAAGCAGGAACAUGUUUUUAUCAAAUUGUUGCUUUACUACGGUUGCUACCAAUAAUAAUAGCUACCACUUUGCAACCAUGGGGAGCUUGGUCUUGGAGGAUAGAGUCUGGCUGAAGUUCUGGGCAGGUGAAAGGGAAGGGCCAAAGCCCAGAAGGGCCACUGCCAAGAGGGUCUGGAGCCAUCUUCAGGUU